rnacentral:rRNA from 1 species
UACGUAGGGGGCAAGCGUUGUCCGGAUUUAUUGGGCGUAAAGAGCGUGUAGGCGGCCAUGUAGGUCCGUUGUGAAAACUCGAGGCUCAACCUCGAGACGCCGAUGGAAACCAUGUGGCUAGAGUCCGGAAGAGGAGAGUGGAAUUCCUGGUGUAGCGGUGAAAUGCGCAGAUAUCAGGAGGAACACCGGUGGCGAAGGCGGGUCUCUGGGCCGUAACUGAUGCUGAGGAGCGAAAGCGUGGGGAGCGAACAGGA